AUUGAACGCUGGCGGAAUGCUUUACACAUGCAAGUCGAACGGCAGCACGGGGGCAACCCUGGUGGCGAGUGGCGAACGGGUGAGUAAUACAUCGGAACGUGCCCAGUCGUGGGGGAUAACUACGCGAAAGCGUAGCUAAUACCGCAUACGAUCUAUGGAUGAAAGCGGGGGAUCGCAAGACCUCGCGCGAUUGGAGCGGCCGAUGGCAGAUUAGGUAGUUGGUGGGGUAAAGGCUCACCAAGCCGACGAUCUGUAGCGGGUCUGAGAGGACGACCAGCCACACGGGGACUGAGACACGGCCCAGACUCCUACGGGAGGCAGCAGUGGGGAAUUUUGGACAAUGGGCGCAAGCCUGAUCCAGCCAUUCCGCGUGCAGGAUGAAGGCCCUCGGGUUGUAAACUGCUUUUGUACGGAACGAAACGCGCCGGGUUAAUACCCUGGCGUAAUGACGGUACCGUAAGAAUAAGCACCGGCUAACUACGUGCCAGCAGCCGCCGUAA
rnacentral:rRNA from 1 species